CUUAUAUGCGCUUUAUCCUUGCACAUCCCUCUUUGGCCGCCGUAUGCACCGGCGACCACCACCAGGAAGUAAGAUCAUUGCUCUCAACAUCAAACGAAAUCCAGUACUAGCCAGCCCCGUCUGUCUUACCAUCGUCUCACUGCCGAAAUUUUGCCUUCUUCACCAGACCUACCACCAGAUUCUUCCUAACAAGCGCCUAACAGGACAUUCUUUGAUUUGAACAUUUCUUUCUUGAGAAAUUUGUUGGUGCUGCUGCAAUAAACCUUGGAUUAUUAGUA